rnacentral:rRNA from 1 species
CCUACGUGAGUCAGCAGUGGGGAAUAUUGCGCCCUGGGCGAACGCCUGACGCCGCGACGCCUCGUGAGGGAUGAAGGUCUUCGGAUCGUAAACCUCUGUCAGCAGGGAAGAACGGUCACUGUGCUAAUCAGCAGUGAAUUGACGGUACCUGCAAAGGAAGCACCGGCUAACUCCGUGCCAGCAGCCACGGUAAUACGGAGGGUGCGAGCGUUAAUCGGAAUUACUGGGCGUAAAGCGCUCGUAGGCGGUAUGUCAAGUCAAGGGUGAAAUCCCCGCGCUCAACGUGGGAACUGCCUUUGAAACUGGCAAACUGGAGUGUGUGAGAGGAUAGUGGAAUUCCAGGUGUAGGAGUGAAAUCCGUAGAUAUCUGGAGGAACAUCAGUGGCGAAGGCGACUAUCUGGCACAUAACUGACGCUGAGGAGCGAAAGCGUGGGUAGCAAACAGGAUUAGAUACCCGGGUAGUC